UACGUAGGUGACCAGCGUUGUCCGGAUUUACUGGGCGUAAAGAGCGCGCAGGCGGUCGAAUAAGUCGAAUGUGAAAGCCCCCGGCUCAACUGGGGAGGGUCAUUCGAUACUGCUCGACUUGAAGGCAGGAGAGGGUAGUGGAAUUCCCGGUGUAGUGGUGAAAUGCGUAGAUAUCGGGAGGAACACCAGUGGCGAAGGCGACUACCUGGCCUGUUCUUGACGCUGAGGCGCGAAAGCUGGGGGAGCAAACGGG
rnacentral:rRNA from 1 species